UACGAAGGGGGCUAGCGUUGCUCGGAAUCACUGGGCGUAAAGCGCACGUAGGUGGGUCGCUAAGUCGGGGGUGAAAUCCUGGAGCUCAACUCCAGAACUGCCUUCGAUACUGGCGAUCUUUGAGUCCGGGAGAGGUGGGUGGAACUGCGAGUGUAGAGGUGAAAUUCGUAGAUAUUCGCAAGAACACCAGUGGCGAAGGCGGCUUACUGGUCCGGUUCUGACGCUGAGGCGCGAAAGCGUGGGGAGCAAACGGG
rnacentral:rRNA from 1 species